rnacentral:rRNA from 1 species
GUAGGUCCCGAGCGUUAUCCGGAUUUAUUGGGCGUAAAGCGAGCGCAGGCGGUUAGAUAAGUCUGAAGUUAAAGGCUGUGGCUUAACCAUAGUACGCUUUGGAAACUGUUUAACUUGAGUGCARGAGGGGAGAGUGGAAUUCCAUGUGUAGCGGUGAAAUGCGUAGAUAUAUGGAGGAACACCGGUGGCGAAAGCGGCUYUCUGGCUUGUAACUGACGCUGAGGCUCGAAAGCGUGGGGAGCAAACAGGAUUAGAUACCCUGGUAGUCCACGCCGUAAACGAUGAGUGCUAGGUGUUAGRCCCUUUCCGGGGUUUAGUGCCGUAGCUAACGCAUUAAGCACUCCGCCUGGGGAGUACGACCGCAAGGUUG